rnacentral:lncRNA from 1 species
ACUUAAAGAAGCUCUUGUUUCAAUAAAUUUCGUUGCAAUCUGGUGAUCCAAUCAUAAGAAUUGCUCCUUUGAAGUUGAGUGAUCCAAACUGCCUCGGCAACCAAUCUCCUUCACUUAGAAAUUUUCUAGAAAUCCAAAUUACCUUAAAACCUAGCAAAACUUAUGCCUUUCAGAGCUUAGCUUACAAAGCUCAAUGCUUUCAAAAUUUCAAUAGAAUCCAAUUAUAAAGCAUUGAGAAAUGUCUUUCCAAACUAGAUUAAUCCAAACUGUGAAGGUAGUCUACUCCCUUACACUCAAAAUUUUACCAAAAAUUCAAUUCAACUCCAAAUUAAGAAAACCUUAUCUUAUUGAAAAGCUAACAACAAAAGCUACAAUCAUAAAGAAUUUCACAUUGAAACAAAAAAAAACAUGACUAAUUGAGAAAAAUCCGGCGCUCUUGAAACCCUUAGAGUACUUAGGAGGCCAAG